rnacentral:rRNA from 1 species
UACGUAGGGUGCAAGCGUUGUCCGGAAUUAUUGGGCGUAAAGAGUUCGUAGGCGGUUUGUCGCGUCGUUUGUGAAAACCGGCAGCUCAACUGCUGGCUUGCAGGGGAUACGGGCAGACUUGAGUGCCGCAGGGGAAACUGGAAUUUCUGGUGUAGCGGUGAAAUGCGUAGAUAUCAGGAGGAACACCGGUGGCGAAGGCGGGUCUCUGGGCAGUAACUGACGCUGAGGAACGAAAGCGUGGGUAGCGAACAGG